rnacentral:rRNA from 1 species
UACGUAGGGGGCUAGCGUUGUCCGGAAUCAUUGGGCGUAAAGCGCGUGUAGGCGGUCCGGUAAGUCCGCUGUGAAAGUCGGGGGCUCAACCCUCGAAUGCCGGUGGAUACUGUCGGGCUAGAGUGCGGAAGAGGCGAGUGGAAUUCCUGGUGUAGCGGUGAAAUGCGCAGAUAUCAGGAGGAACACCAAUUGCGAAGGCAGCUCGCUGGGACGUAACUGACGCUGGAGAACGCGGAAAGCGUGGGGAGCAAACAGG